rnacentral:lncRNA from 1 species
GUCAAUAUAAAUGUUGAGAAAAAAAUACAAUGGAAAAAACAAAAGAAAUUUAAUUUCAAUAAUAUUAAUCAAAAAAAAAAAAGAACUUGUGUUGGAUUGGCACUACAUAGAUGCAAAAAAGUUUAGAUGGGGGAAUAAAUAAGGAAGAAGUAGAAAAAAAAUCUCGGAUUUAGAUUUAUUCAAUCAAUAAUAAGUAGAAUAAAAAAAUUUUAUUCCUUGUUUAUUACGUGUUAGUAAAGUUCCAACGAAAGCCGCCC